UACGUAGGUGGCAAGCGUUGUCCGGAUUUAUUGGGCGUAAGCGCGCGCAGGCGGUCCUUUAAGUCUGAUGUGAAAUCUUGCGGCUCAACCGCAAGCGGUCAUUGGAAACUGGGGGACUUGAGUUACAGAAGAGGGAAAGCGGAAUUCCACGUGUAGCGGUGAAAUGCGUAGAGAUGUGGAGGAACACCAGUGGCGAAGGCGGCUUUCUGGUCUGUAACUGACGCUGGAGGCGCGAAAGCGUGGGGAGCAAACAGG
rnacentral:rRNA from 1 species